CCUCAUUGGAAGGAGUGAACCAUCUGAGACCGAACCGAGGAGUUGAGUCAGACUCAGUGAGCCGAGUCAAGUAACAUGUCUCGGAGAGGUUGAACUCGGAGGCCACGGCUUGUAACCACUGGUCGUCUCUUUCUUCCUCCAGCAAGCAAACCGCUGCUGGGUUCCCUUUGAAAGCGGAGUCUGUGAACGCGUCCACCUGCAACAAGCAAGUUCAAACACUCAAUUCAUACACACAGAAGAGAGAGAGAGAGAGAGAGAGAGUACCACAGAGUAUUUCACAGCUUUCUUCGCCAUGGAAUUGGAAUGGAAAAUCGAAAUGAUUGUGGAGCAAAGACCUGGAAAGUAGCUCUCUCUCUCUCUCUCUCUCUCUCUAUAUAUAUAUAUAUAUAUGUAUAUAUAUAUAUAUAUAUAUUACUCUUCGCGGGUGGGUAAAGAGUUUCAAAACAAAAGCGCUUUUGGUAAAAGCAAAUCAAAAAGCACUUUUAAGUAGAAAUGCUAAAGCAGUUUCAAACCGCAACCCAACAUAUACAAUGAAUUCCAUGUGGAAAAUAGUUGGCAUCUCAAGACGUAUGGGAUCUUUCUUCCUUCAUAUCAUAUCCUAUGAUUUUUUAUGUGGAAAAUGUUAGAACCAAUCAAAUGUCACUUAUACAAUAUAAAAUAAUUUGCAUGGUUUAUUUUUGAAUGACAACUUGAACAACAAAUACAAUAUAUCGAAAUAUAAACACUUAAUGAAAUUGCAUAUACAAUCACAAAUCACUGACUUGUUAUUUGAAGAUAGAGGUUUGCAAAAGCAAUUUCCUAAGACAUAAAUUUGCCAUACACUAGUGCAGUAGUUCAAUGGAUGCCUAUCUUGCAUGAUACAACUAUCUAAUCCAAGUUUUUGCACUCGAACUUGGAUUCUUGGCGAAUUGAUUGUGUGUUUAUCUGUGAAUAUAUGGAAAAAGGAAGAGAUGGACUUGUUGUUUUGGUUUCUGAUCUGACGGCCAUAUUUAUAAUGGCGUAAUGGAGCAGUUAAAGUCGUUCAUGUUUAUCUUUAAGAACGAUUGUAACUAGGGCUGGGCAAACGGGCCCUGGGCCCGCGGGUAGGGGCGGGUAUUGGCGGUUCGGGGCGGGUCCAUAAUAUUUUAUGUACAAAACAAGGCGGGGCGAGGCGGGUCCAAGUAAACAAAGGGGCGGGCCGGUUCCAAUUUUCCAAAGUGACGGGCCCCCAGCCCGAACCGUAUCACACACACACACUCAAAUCUCGCACACAUCACAUCUUUCUCGAAGACUCCCGAGCCCUCCCCGAGUCCUCCAUCUCGAUCUCUCUCCCCCAGAUUCGUCCCUCUUGAUCUCUCUCUCCCAGAAUCCUCCCUCUCGAUUCUCAGUCCCCUCUCAUUCGUCCUUCCCUCUUGAUCUCUCUUUCCCAGAAUCCUCCCUCUCGAUUCUCAGUCCCAUCUCCCACUCGAGUCGAGUCCUCUUGUGAACACCACCAUCGCCAUCGUCUCCUGACACUUCUCCCAAAUGUGACCACCCAUCACCGCCGUCGAAAACAGCACCAUCAUCCUGCGAUUCGAAAUAUCAUGUCAUCUUCUCUCAAAUUAAGGUAAUUUCUAGAUUAGGGUUUUUGAAUUAUCUGGGUUUUUUAGUUCAGGGAUUUAGGACUUUUGAAUUAGGAUUUUUGAAAUUUCUAGGUUAUGGGGAGUAUUCGGAAUUUUUAUUUUCUGGGUUGGUGGGGAAAUUGGAUGAAGUUGCAUAAAUUUUGAAUCUUUCAGUAAGCUGCAUAUGAAGAUGAAGUUGGCAAGCUUGAGCUUUCAGUAAUCUGCUAAUCUUUCAGUAAUUUAGAGUUGUAUAUAACUUCUGAAAUUUAUAUGAUUGACAAUUUGAUUUUGGUUGAGAUUUGUUUAUUUGUUCAAGCUUUGUCAUUUUUUGUUUGUAUUGUAAAUUUGAUUGCUCAAGCUUUGUCUUCUGAAUUUAGUUUUCGAUUGUAGAACAAGACUCAGUCUUACAAGGUGGAGUGCCGAUUGGAAAAACGCUACUCUUUCGUAUGCAGCAAGGGCGGAGGAUGCAGCGGCGGAGGAUGCAAGCUGUUAGGGUUUUUUCUGUUGGGCUUGGUUUUGUUAUCAGGUCCAUACUUUUGUUGUUGUGUUUGUAUGGGCCUCUCUUGUAAAUGUAAAUAUGUGAGUUGUUGGUAAUAAAAAAAGGAGCCCAAUGUCAGACCCAAAAAAAAAAAAAGUAAUUGGACCCGUGGACCCGUCCCGAACCGGCCCGUUUCAAACGGGCCAGGUUAGGUCCGGUUCUCAAACUUAAAAUCUCUCUACCCAACUCGGCCCGGCCCGUUACAUUUUAAAACGGGUAGGUCCGGUUCCUCAGAAUUUGGGCCCGGCCCGGCCCGUGCCCAACCCAAAUUGUAACUGUUCACGUAAUUAGUUUUAUCCUUUUAGAAAAAAACUGAAUGCAAAAAUCAAAAACAUAAAAAUGAUACUUGUGUUUUUCAUCCAUCCGAGCCCAAGAGCCCCAAUGCCCAUCUUUGACAUUUAAUAUAUGCACCCAAACCCUCCAAGUCUAGAGGCCAAGAUCCCAUGGCCUUGGCCCAAUUCUUUUCAAAUCAUAAGUGAGUGAACUCAAUUAUAAAGAGAUGUUUUGAAAAAGGUUUGGGCGAUGUGGGAUUGGGAGUCCCUCACAAGUUCCAACAGAAAAUAGCAAGCACAUUGCGUGUGAGAACCUUUCUUUCCGUACUGACAAAUCACAGUCCAACACGAGAUGAAGAUUAAAACCUGAGAUGCAAGAGACAAGAGACAAGGUGGCCGAUCUCAUCUUUUAUUGAUUUUUUAUAUUUCAGAGUUAUUUAUAAUAAGAACAGUUACGCCCGUAAGUAUGAAAUUCCAUGAUUUAAUCACAAAUUACUUUGAGGAGGAACUCAUCAUCGUCCAUUGAGGAGCCAAGUUAAUUCCUUUUAUGAUUGUUUUGGUUCAUGGGUCGUUUCAAACUAUAUGAACACUUUAGCUUUCGCCAAUCAGUUUUGCUGUUGAAAAUACGACACUCAAAGCGAAAAAUCGAGUUCUUGCAAUCAACUUCAUUCGUUGAGCGACGGAAAUAGUACAUUCUGACAUAAUCUUUACAAAGUACAAACCCUUGAGAGAUCAAUGAACUAGUUGUAGGAGACGAUCAGGGCAAUGUGAGUGAGUAAUUUACAUGGUGUAAUUCACAAGGUUACAUACAACACAUGAUGCCUAACUUUAUUAACACAUUAACCAGAUGGAAAUGGAAUCACCACAUUCCUUGUUUGUUCAUCUUCGAGAAAUGGGACAGAGUGAUCUUUGGAAGUUCGAUCGGACGCCUGUUCAUCUUGAGGAAUAUCUAGUGAGGACGUUUCCUGGCCAACGAGCACACAGCUCCCUAAGAGGUUGGCGCCGGUUGAUAUCGUAUAUCGGGCUUCUGCUUAUUGGCGGGUUGUAAGAGAAUGACAGUUAAUUCUGAAAGGUGCCUUUAUAGGGCCUUAGGUGUAGGCAUUGAGGCUCGCAAUCAAAAUCAACUUUAAGUACCCAGGCAUGCCACUGUCAUCUUUAGCAUGACAGAUGUAAAACAGAUGUUAAGUUUUAUUAUAUAUAUAUAUGUCCGAGAGACCAAGUUAGUUAUGAAAGGUGCCUUUGUGGGGCCUUAGGUGUAGGCCUUGAGGCUUCCCGUCAAAACUAACCAAAUACUUGAACAUAUAUUGGUUGUUUCAUUGUUGUAGAAGUAUUACAACCGUUAUACUUUAAUCAUCCGAGCCCGCAGAGCAGAACGAACUCAGAUAGGUGCCUUUGUCGGGCCUUAGAUAUAGGCAUUGAGGCUUCCUAUCAGAAUUAAUUCUAUACUCAAGCGUUAUGUAGCAAUCAUGAUAUAACAGAAGUAAAACUAGAAAAUAGGCCAAUUACUUGCGCCCCAAGUAACUUCGGACUUCUUGUUAUCAAGGACUGUCGUGGAUGGGUUAAGUCCACAUAGGGUUCUUUUUUAUGCCUUGAGACCAAGGACUGUUAAUUGAUCAAUCUUGUCCGCUCGAAUGGUUAGAACUUAGAAGUCUUUUAAUCAUAAACUGGCUAGAAAUAACUUGGAUGCAGAUGGAAAUAUACAUCAUAUUACUGGAUUUAUGAAUGAAAGACAAAAACAAAGGAGGUCGGGCAAGGUUUCACUUUGUCGGGCAAGGCUGAUCAUCUUGCAACUUCCUCUCUUUGUGAUUUACAAAGGGUUUGAGUGCUAGAAGGGGAGAUUAGAAGAUGAGUUUACAUGAGGGAAUCAAUACUACAGCAAGAUUUAGACAGGGUAGCACAGCUUUUACAAAGGCUUUCUGGUGAAGGUUGAUCCCGAAAGGGAUGAAGGCUUGGUGCUGACUACAACUUCGUAUGCAAAUCUGGCUUGAGUAGAGUUUGUGUAUUUGUUUGUUUGAUUGAGUGUCCUUAUCUCUGAUUUUUCUUCCUCCUUUUAUAGACAAUUUGGCUUGGCUGCCUGCAGUAUUGAUUUUGCCCGAAUGCAUCUGAAGGGCAGUGACUCAUCAACUUUUACUUGUACUGUCAUUGUAAAGUACUUUUGGGCUGAUUAACUGGUUGGUCUACACCACCUGACCUCUAGGUAGGUGAGCAGGUGGUUUGAAUGAUCUGCAUUUGGUCGGGAAAAAGGCUCAUUCUUUCUUCUGGGCUUCAACUGGGCCUUGGACUUUUCCUCAUUCUGGACCUUCUUUUGGGCUAACCCAUUUUUAACCUAAAGUUCAAGUUUUAUCCCAAACAGUGCCCCUUUUCAAUUAAUAUUCAAGCUGGAAUUCCAGGCACCAAUAUUGAUUGAAUAGCUGCCCUUCAUACCCACGUCUUUACUGAGACUUGCACCCUUCUCAAAAAACAACUGUCACUUACCUGUAAUCUUUUCACUAACCCAUAAAUCAUCAGUUAUCCCUAAUAUGAAAUCCCCCUUUUCAGAAUUUCCUACCUUCCCAGAUACUCUAUUUCUUCCAAAUUUCAGACUCCCAUUUGCUCUUUGUUCCAUAUCUUCUGCCCUUGUCACAUUCUUAUCACGCCUUUUCCAAACUUAUCAAAUGGCUUCAAGAUUCAGCCAAGUCCAGCUAUCAUACGAAUCUGGUGAAGGCAUCGCUACCUUACGCCGUUUACUUAACGGAUUGCAUCGCCCUCGGGCAUGUUUGUGCUCUGAACUUUUCUUUGAAGCCCAUGUGGUACAAUCGUUGGGUCCUGCAUGGAUUUCUCGCGUCCCUGCUGUGAUAGAAAUAAUAUGCCCAGGGGUAACUGGUUUGCCCCUAAUCCUUUUUUGGCCAAGUCGGGCAUCUCUUCAGCUAAAUGGUCAUCAUACCAUCGUGGCUUUCCCCUAAUGAACGACCCAGCUUGGACUCAGUGGAUUGAUGAACUAGAGCCAAUCUUCAAGAAGAAGUGGAUGAACAAUGGUAUUUACGAACUAAUAAUGCUUUCAAAAACUACCAUUGUUCCCAAGCUCGAACUGCUUGCUACUUCUCUUCUUUUCUAGAAUUCAGGCAUGAAUACUUUUGAUUUUCGCAUGGGUCCCAUGUCUCCGACUGUUCUAGAUAUGGCCCAAGUCUUCGGGCUAAGACCAUCGGGCAGGAUUGUAGAUGUUACCCAAGACUGGGUUCCCUCUUCCUCUUCAAUCGCUAAAAGCUCCGGUUCCUCCGCCUCUUUUCUUUAAUUAGAAUACAACUCUGCAACCUUUAAGAGUUACGAGACUUCUUUCAAGGGAUUCAUCCCCUUUGUCAAGGAGAAUUUUGGUGCAGAUUCCUCUCGUGCUAACAAAGAUCAAGAACAUAUGUAUUUCCUGUUAUACUGGCUCAACAAGCAUGUCUUCCCAAAUAAAUCUAAAGGGGUGAAGGUUGAAUGGAUCCUCUUAGUGGAAGCCCUUCAUAACUUUGAUGAUGUAGCCACAGGUCCAUUCCUUCUUUCUCAUCUUUAUCAUCUCCUCUUUGAAAUGACUCAAGGUGAGCCAUUUGAAACCAAUCUGAACGGACCCAUAUGGAUGAUCCAAAUAUGGCUCUAAUGGUAUUUCCCAAAAUUUCGGGCCAGUAACUUAGAAUUCCCAUAAGGUGUAACCCCUGCUCGAAUCCUAGCUGAAGCUACUCCCAUAGAUCACUCUACUUUUGCCUGUUUUUAUUUCUUCAAGGUUUGUAGAACCCGAUCAUACCUGGAGUGGGGUGCUUCAGUUUUAAGGAGAUAUCCUUGGUUCUCUAAUCAAGCAUUCCAAGACACUCUCGGAGAAGAUGCCAUCUCAUUUUGCAAGGAGAAAUUCAUCAGUUGUAUUCAACAAAGAAACAUAGCCUGGGAAGUUCGUGGCAACCGUUAUGAUCGCGAUUAGAAGUGUAUCACCCUAAUUUUUGUAGCAGGCAAUUAGGCUUUAGGCAAGCCAUUCCUAUCCCCUUUUUUUACUCUGUCCAUUGUGGCACUUCCUUCCGGUUAUCAUCCCCUUCAGAGGUGACCUUUCGGGUUGCCCGACAAAGUCUUGAAGUUAUGAAUCAGGUUGCCCGAAAGUCUAUAAUUCUGAACUUCGAAUGUACUUCACUUUUCUCCACCUAGUGGGAAGCCAAAUGGACCAAGAAAUAUGGAGAAGAUUUGCGAGAAACUUACGACCGUCUCUUUUGUCAACUUUCCCUCAAGUCAUACCCAAGUUCAGGCGAACUUGGAAACUGGAAGGAAAUGAUUCAGCAAAAGAACUGGUUACUUUUGAUAAGUAUUUCUCUCCCCACCUCGACUCUGCCUUCCUUUGAAGUUAAAGUUAUUUAGUCUUAUUUUCCUUGAUCUUGCAGCUCAAGUAGAUGUCAAAACAGCAUCCAUUGAAUCAGAGGAUGAUUCAGCUGAUGCAGCAGUUCUUCAUGGAGCCACAGUAGAAGCUCAAAGGCGAAAAGCUGGAGUAGGCGGAGAUGUUUCAAAAUCUUUUAGAGAUUCAGAUGCUGAAAAAGUACCCGAAGUAAACAUCAAGGCGUCUAAGCGGAGAAAAGUAGUUGUGGUCGAGACCUCAGAAUCUGAACUUGCAUCACCACCCAAACCUAAACGGCCAACUCUCACACUUCUUCCAAGCUUCCAAAUCUUCAACCUACUCAGCUCCAGUUUCUAAGGCAUGCAUAAUGAAGCAAAAGUCUUCAAGUAAGUUUUUUUGCUUUCCUUUAAUCAGACUUCCACCCUUCUUCAUUAUCUGAUUGUCCCUGCUUUCUUCUAAAUCAGGGCCUCAUACUUCUAAGAAACCAACUAUCGCACCCAGGAAGGGUCCACUAGGAACUGAAAUGCAUCAAAGAGCUGAAGAUCUGCAGAAGGCCAUCCUCAGGGAGCGUGAGGUAUUUACUUGUAUUUUCAUCUGCAUGAUCUCCCUUACUUUUCUUUAAACUUUGAACAUGAUUGCCUGAUUAGGCUGUAAGUGAAGAAAAGAUUCUUCUGCCCGAGGUUUCUGGAAUAAAUGACCGAACUUUUUUCUUCAUUUCUUUUUAUCCAGGUUGGGGUAUCUGCCCCCUUGCCUAGCCAAGGUUCCCAUCCAAAGUCUUAUAUUUCUCCUUCUGCUCUGGAUGUAACUCCAUCUUCUCAAUUUAAUCUAACAACAGAAGUUAUGUUGCAUUUUGUAAAUGAAGACAGCAGUUUGGUGAGCAGUUGUUUUGAUAUUGAACUUCUAUACACUGUGCCCGUACUAACUUUCCAUUUACAUUUCCUCUAGCCAUAUCCAAUACAUGAAUCACGACGACCAUCAGUGGUAACACUUAAAGAACCCGUAGCCCCUGAAAUUCCUAUGACUCCAAGGGUAGCUAUUUUGCAAGUGUUUCCUUGCCCAAUAGCUACUACCGAUGAACCCCCUUCUUCUCCCCCUUCUUCUCCCCUCACUCAGGUAUAGAUAUAUUUUUCUUUAUGUUCUCUUCUCAUACUUGUUUACUAACAAUUGCUAUAAUACCUGGAUGCUCUUAGGGCAUUGGUGAAGGUUCGGGCACAACUUUUUCUUCCCCUGUUGGUGGUAGUGAUUCUCCUCCUCAAACAGGAGCUGAUACUCUUUCUUUUAAAACCCUAGGGCCCAUUCAGGCAUAUUUCUUCUUCCCAAAGUUUGUUUCUACUUUAAACUAUUUAACUGUUUUCUUGCCUUAAUCUAGUCUUCUUUAGUUCUUUUAAUCUAGUCUUCUUUGGUUCUCGCAGCAGGCCAUAAGAGAGGCUUCGGGCAAGUCUCCCCCACGUGUGGUGUAUAAAACGGAGUUCCCCCGGCCUUCUUCAACUUCUGGAGAUACAGGGAUUUCCUUCCCUAGAAUUGAGAUGAUCAGGACUGAAGUCACCUUAUCAGCAGUUACUACUCCAUCAGAAGAAACUGGAGUACGAACCCCUCUCCCUUCUUUUUCAUUUUCAACAACUGCUGAUUUGCCCGAACUUUUUGAAGAAUUCGGGCAACUUGAAACAAGGCUGAAAUCUUCAAAGCGUUCUUCUGAACCUUCUGGCUUUCAAGAGAAACGUCGAGGUUUCCAAAAUUGGGUGAAAAAAGACUUCUCAGCUUCAUUCAGCCUUAAGGCUCUUCAUGACAUAGAGAAGGUUACGAUAGAGCUCUUCAAGGCCGGCCAGUUAUCCAAAACCCAACAUGAUUCAUUUUUCUCUUUCUUUGAGAACUUGAGGGCUCUCAGGGAUCAACAUCAGAGAGCUGAAAGACAAGUCAAUCGUGUAAAAUGCUUCAGGGAGAAAGAAUUGAGUAUUUCUGCUCAGGUCGAACAGUUAAUGGAUGAGGGCUUGCUGACAAAAGAAAGGAUUGGAGUGGUAACUUUUGAAAUCCAGAAGUUGGAAGAACAACUUAUUGUUCUUAAGGCUGAGCAAAAAACCCUUCUUAGUACCCUUAAACAUCAAAUUGAAGAAGUGAAGAAGUCAAACUUAGAGCUAGAACACGCUAGAUCUCAACUUGCUAAUAGCAACAUUGUUCUAGCCGAACUUGGUAGAAUUUUUACAAUCAUGUAGACUUAUCAUUCCCGAAUAAUUACUUUGAGUGAAGAUGUAAAUUUGUUAGACUAGAAUCACUUGUAACCCUUCUUUUAUCAAAAUGAACAUGUGUUUUGCCUUUGCUUGUCUCGCUCAUGGCCCCAUUUGCAUUGUAAAUCCUAUGUUAUAUCUUCGGGCAACUCCCUGCCCCCCUUUUUAUUUUCUUUUUUGCUUCCCUUACCAAUACCAAUUUCAGGACCUAAUCAUGAUCAAUUGGUCCUCCUUCUGAUACUAUUAUUGACGUGGAGGUGUUGGGGCAACAUGGGAUCUAUUUCCCUCUUCUUUCAUAACAAAUGAUGACCCCAACUUUUCUACCCAAACCAGGUUGAUCGUAUUGAUAGGGGCCUCCAGGAACGGGUUUGUAUCAACCAUCAUACUGGUUUAGGGCUUGUCAAGCAACAGUUUGCCCUUCACUAUAAGAUCUUGUAUCCAAUCUAUGAACUGGACAUAAUUGGUUAUAGAAUGGUUGAAGGUAUAGUGCAACUUGCAAUACUUCUUCCCCCUUAGUUUUUCUGGCUUAGGCAUCUUCUUAGUAUUGUCGGGUAAAAUUAUUCUUGCCCGCACCAGUUCUUCAUAGAUCUCGGGAGCUUUGGCCAAGUCAAAUGAAUAACUCUAGUACUUGGGAGGUUUCAUAGGGACGAACCCUCCAUCAUUCAUUACGAUUUUCUGGUCUUUGAUGGGUUGAACCAACCCUUUCACCAUUAAUAGUUUGAAAGGCGUGGUCAUCUCAGCAACACAAACAUCAAUUUCCUCUCUAUCAUGACCAUCUUCAUGCUCUGGCCUUGCUUUUUCCACCUCCACACGAUGAAUUGCAGCUUUGUUUUUGUAAAAGGGAAGAGUCUUGGAAGUAUGCUUCACUUGUUGUUCUUCUAGCAGCAAUCUUUCAUACUUUGUGGCGGCGAUUACCAACUCCUGUAACUCAUUGAAUUGUGUAUCAUAGAACCUUUUCCUCAGAGGUAAUCUUAAAGCCCUCUGAGCAAUUGAUAUAAGCUGAGCUUAGUUAACAGGGAAUUGGCAUCUCAUUCUUAUCUUUCUGAACCUCAUCAUGAAAUCUUCUGCGAUCUCAUGGUCGUAUUGUUUGACUUCAACCAGGUCAUUGAUAGUCAUUUCUGGUUCUAUUCUGUAAAACUAUUCAUAGAAGGCCAUCUCCAUCUGCCCUCAGUUGGCAAUAGAGUUACGGGGCAAUAGAGAGUACUACUGAGAUGUUAGCCCUGCCAAUGAAUUUCGAAACAACCUCAACUUGUAGUUCGGGUUGUCUUUAUAUGCCACACAAUGAUUGGAGAAUUUGAAAAUAUGAUCUCUAGAGGACACACUUCCAUCUUCUCCCGUGAAUGUUGGGAAUGCAGGCAUUUUAAAGUUGAUAGGAAAUGGGUUCUACUCAUCAAUAUAUUCAGGAUAAGGUUUUUGAUAGGUAACCCUGAAUACUGGACGAGCUUGUGGUUGAGCAUUAUGGGCCACCGUCUUUCUUAAUUCAGCUAGCUCUUCCCUCAGUUGUUGAGUAGCUGUAUUAUUAUUAUGGAAGAUAAGAGCAGCUUCAUUCUUUGGGCUUCGGUCAUUGACCGUACCUGCUUCCUUUUUUUACUCGGGCUUUCUCCAGUUGGCUCAUCCUCCCAUUAUUAGCCAACGGAGGUGGCCUAUAAGGAGGAGACUUAUCUGAGGUGAUAAAGCCUUCUUUUUCGCUGGGUUCUCCGGUUAUUAUGGGCAUCUCAUACCUCGUCAUUUCUUGUUCGCUCUGCUUCCUAUUAUUAAAUGAUAAUAAUAGGAAGCUAGGGAAUUCUUUUUCUAGAACCGGUUCAAUUAUGGACUGACUUCCUUCAAGAACUUCAUUUUCCUUUCCCUUAUCCUUUUUUUCUUCCAAUAACAGAAAUAGGGGAAUAACUGGUUCACUUUUGGCGGUAGCCUAGCUCAUCAUACUUCCUUGAACACCUUUUGAAGUAGAGAACUCCAGAUCUAGUCUCCUCUGUAGAUUUCCUGUUAAGGUACAAAGUCUACUUACUUCUCCCUUAGUUUCCAAAGAGAUUCUUUCCAUGCUCUUCAACACUUGUAUCAUAGUAGCCUGCAAUUCUUCAUUAGUUCCUUUUCCUUCAGACCUUCCAGAUGAAGUUGGGCUUUCCAAGACCACCUGUCCUGAUGGAGAAGAAGAAUUUCCUGAUUGUUCUGUCAUUUGUAGCAAAGGUUGAGAUGAUUCGUACUUUGUACUCUUUUUGCAAGGUUUAUGGCUUUUCUUCUUUAACAUGCGAGAUUGAAAAAGUGAAUCCCACCGGGCAUGCCAAAACUAUGUUCGUCUUGAGGAAUAUCCAAUGAGGACAUUUCUUGGCCAACGAGCACACAGCUCCCCAAGAGGUUGGCGCCGGUUGAUAUCGUCUGUCGGGCUUCUGCUUAUUGGCGGGCUGUAAGAGAAUGACAGAGUUAAUUCUGAAAUGUGCCUUUGUAUGGCCUUAGGUGUAGACCUUGAGGCUCGCAGUCAAAAUCAACUUUAAGUACCCAGGCAUGCCACUGUCAUCUUUAGCAUGAUAGAUAUAAAACAGAUGUUAAGUUUUAUUAUAUAUAUAUGUCCGAGAGACCAAGUUAGUUAUGAAAGGUGUCUUUGUGGGGCCUUAGGUGUAAGCCUUGAGGCUUCUCGUCAAAACUAACCAAAUACUUGAACAUAUAUUGGUUGUUUCAUUGUUGCAGAAGUAUUACAACCGUUAUACUUUAAUCGCCCGAGCCUGCAGAGCAGAACGAACUCAGAUAGGUGCCUUUGUCGGGCCUUGGAUAUAGGCCUUGAGGCUUCCUAUCAGAAUUAAUUUUAUACUCAAGCGUUAUGUAGCAAUCAUGAUAUAACAGAAGUAAAACUAGAAAAUAGGCCAAUUACUUACGCCCCAAGUAACUUCGGACAUCUUGUUAUCAAGGACUGUCGUGGAUGGGUUAAGUCCACAUAGGUUCUUUUUUAUGCCUUGAGACCAAAGACUUUUAAUUGAUCAAUCUUGUCUGCCUGAAUGGUUAGAACUUAGAAGUCUUUUAAUCAUAAACUGGCUAGAAAUAACUUGGAUGCAGAUGGAAAUAUACAUCAUAUUACUAGAUUUAUGAAUGAAAGACAAAAACAAAGGAGGUUAGGCAAGGUUUCACCUUGUCGGGCAAGGCUGAUCAUCUUGCAACUUCCUCUCUUUGUGAUUUACAAAGGGUUUGAGUGCUAGAAGGGGAGAUUGGAAGAUGAGUUUACAUGAGGGAAUCGAUACUACAACAAGAUUUAGACAGGGUAGCACAACUUUUACAAAAGCUUUCUGGUGAAGGUUGAUCCCGAAAGGGAUGAAGGCUUGGUGCUGACUACAACUUUGUAUGCAAAUCUGGCUUGAGCAGAGUUUGUGUAUUUGUUUGUUUGAUUGAGUGUCCUUGUCUCUGAUUUUUCUUCCUCCUUUUAUAGAUGAUUUGGCUUGGCUACUUGCAAUAUUGAUUUUGCCUGAAUGUAUCUGAAGGGCAGUGACUCAUCAACUUUUUACUUGUACUGCCAUUGUAAAGUACUUUUGGGCUGAUUAGCUGGCUGGUCUACACCACUUGACCUCUAGGUAGGUGAGCAGGUGGUUUGAAUGAUCUGCAUUUGGUCGGGAAAAAUGCUCAUUCUUUCUUCUGGGCUUCAGCUGGGCCUUGGACUUUUCCUCAUUUUGGACCUUCUUUUGGGCUAAUCCCUUUUUAACCCAAAGUUCAAGUUUUAUCCCAAACAACGCCCUUUUUUCUUCGUUAUCUUGGUCAUCUUAGUUGACUCCCCAUUCUCCGAUUCAGCAACCGUCACCAAGACCAAGUUGUAGAACUGUUUCAAACAUCCGUUUAUGCAUAUUAGAUUACUUCCAAAAGUGAUUUUGAUGACGUGCAGAAUGAGUAAUCUCAUUGUGCAAUACUUUUAGUGGAUGUCUCAAUGCACAGCUCCAAGAUCCGGCAUGAAUUAAUGAUUGAAAAUACAUAUGAAAAGAUAAAUGAGAAAAUGUACCUCACAAACACCAUGGAGCAACAAUCGACGGAGAGGAUCUUGGACCUACAGGAUGAGAACAUCUCCAUCUUCCUCUUCAGUCUCCGUAACAAAAGCCCGUACGCGCUCCUGAAAAGAGAAGGGAAUUUAUACUCAAUGACAAUAAAAGAUUUUGUCAGGUUUGUUAAGUGUAAAAUUGGUAAUUCCUAGCAAAAUGCCUGAGUCUGUAAUAAUAGCUUAGAUUUGUUACAUAUUUUCCAUUGUAAUUGUUUAAGUCUAAGGAUGUCUCUCACACUUUCGAUGCAAAGAUGUUACGUAAAUAAGAUACUUACCGAUACUUAUUUAGGUACGUUUGCACGCAUGCAUCUAACUAUUACCAUUAAAUACAAGAUGAAAUUAACAAUAAAAGUAAAAUGUAUCAAUAAACCCACCCAGUAAUCAAACCCUAACCAUCACGUAAUCUUUGUCUUACGUUCUUUCCUGGCAAAAAUCCUAAGACGCUCUCAUAGACCUUUAUCAUCGUCAUCAUCACUACCACCACCACCAUCACCAUCACCAUCUCCAACACUACUCAUCACCUGCAUAAACCUGCUUUUACUUAUGCUACUACUAAAACAACAAGCAGCAGCUGAUCAAGAUCAACACCUAGUUUUAAAUCAAGUGUUUUUCUUCAAUUUUAACUAUCCCGUUUAAUUAAGUAAUUAAAAUUCUUUUAAUUCUUUAAUUAACACGUUCAGAUGUUACUCAUAUUUAAUUAUUAGUCUUGCUAUGUAGAUGCAUUGCAAACAUGUGAGAACAUGAUAAUCAUUGCACUUCAUUUCAUUUUGUUUGUGCACUGUUCAGUGUUUAUAAUUAGUCAUGUGAUCUUAUUAUUAUUUUAUUUUAUAUAUUCUGAUAUAGUUUCUCAGUUUCUAACUUCCGUGCAUGCUUGCUAGCUAUUAUUCCCAGUACUGCAAGUCAGAUUGCAAUAUAUGCAUGCAUUUGUUAAACUAACUAGGGUUUGAUUAAUUUGGUUUGACUCUCAUAGUCACAUGGCAACUGUGUUUAAUUAGAUUAAUGGAUUUAAUUAGCAUGGAUCUUCAUGAGAUUGAUCCGGGUAGCUUCUAAUGUGAAAACAUGGGUGUAUAAAUUUGCAUAUUGAAUUGAGUAUGUGAGGGUAGUAUUGGUAGUAAAUUGGGUAUAAAGAGAGAAUAAUAGUUUGAUAAAAAAUAAUAUGGGUGAAAAGAGUAAGCUGGGUGUAGAGAUAAGUUAUAUGGAUUCAAAUAAAAUUUCCCUUUUGUAUUUGGGAUAGGUCUCUUACCUAUUUAUCUCUUUAAAAUGACUUAUCCUUUCUAUAUUAAUUAUUAAAACACGCUUUCAAGAUAAUCUGAUUGUAUUUGGUGGAACUUAUCUGAUUGCAUUUGGUGGGUUUUGCCUCGUUAAAUCCUACAUCAUGUGCGUACUCUUUAUAUUUAUUCUGAAUAUUCGUGUAGGAUUUAGUUUGCAUAACUGAUUAGUUUAAACCAUAAUUUGGACUCAACUUUUGUUCUUCUCUUAUUUAUUGUCGUGUUUUCAAUUGUUGUCCAUAACAUCUUUUUCAUCAUGGUUUCCUCAUGCAAGUCUGCACGUCCCCAUGCUCUGAAAGGCAAAACUCCUAUUAUCACUCCUUCAUUCUCUUAUCCCUGUACCCGUUCUGUGACUCAUAAAUUGUUUUCUUCCUUAUCUGCUCCUUCAACUUUUCCUGCUGUUGAUUUUUCCAACGAGAUCUUCAAACAUAUUCUUGAUCUGCGCCAACAAUUCUCUCUGUUGGAGCAUUUCAUUAAGAUUUCUACCAAUGAUCUCAGCCAUCGAAUUUCUCAAUUGGAGCACUGUCUCCAACGUAUCCCAAACCACAUGCUUGUGCCUCUUAUCCAUCUUUCAUCCUCUGAUGACGAUUCUGGAUUCAGUCCCGAUUGUAUUACACUGACUUCCCGUAUUCCUUGUUCACCUGUUCUGGAACAUACACCGCUGCCAACUCCUACUCCAGAGGAUGAUCCUGAGGAGGAUCCCGAAGAGGAUCCAGAGGAAGAUCUUUACUGGGUUACCUAUGAAGACUCACUGCCCAAGAAUGAUUGAUUCUAUGACUUCUUUGGCUUUUCCUAUGACAAAAGGGGGGAAAGACUUUAGCUAGGGGAGAGAGAUUUUAGCUAGGAGAGUAUUUUAGUUUAGUGAGAGUUUUAGCUAGGAGAGUAUCUUAGUGAGAGUUUCUUUUAGUUUCUUAUAUUUGGAGAAUAAACGAUGUUUGAAUGAUUAUCUUUAUUUCUUAAUAAAGUCUAUUUUUAUUGCAACAUGUAUCGUUUGUAUGUCACGGGUAUUUUGUUUAAUGUGUGCAGAUUACAGCCUUCAGUGCAUAAGUUUUAAUAUUUUUUCUUUUAUAAAUUGUUGUGAGUAAGGGUUUUGUCUAGGAAAUGCCAAAGGGAGAGAUUGUUAGUGUAAAAUUGGCAAUUCCUAGCAAAAUACCUGAGGCUGUAAUCUCCCCCUUUGGCAUUUCCUAGCCAAAACCCUCACUCGCAACAAUUUAGAAAAGAAAAAAAAAUAUUAAAACUCAUGCACUGAAGGCUGUAAUCUGCACACAUUAAACAAAAUACCCUUGACAUACAAACGAUAGAUGUUGCAAUAAAAAUAGACUUUAUUAAGAAAUAAAGAUAAUCAUUCAAACAUCGUUUAUUCUCCAAAUAUAAGAAACUAAAAGAAACUCUCACUAAGAUACUCUCCUAGCUAAAACUCUCACUAAACUAAAAUACUCUCCUAGCUAAAAUCUCUCUCCCCUAGCUAAAGUCUCUCCCCCUUUUUGUCGUAGGAAAAGCCAAAGAAGUCAUAGAAUCAAUCAUGCUUGGGCAGCGAGUCUUCAUAGGUAACCCAGUAGAGAUCUUCCUCUGGAUCCUCUUCGGGAUCCUCCUCAAGAUCAUCCUUUGGAGUAGGAGUUAGCAGCGGUGUAUGUUCCAGAACAGGUGAACAAGGAAUACGGGAAGGCGGUGUAACACAAUCGAGACUGAAUCCAGAAUCGUCAUCAGAGGAUGAAAGAUGGAAAAGAGGCACAAGCAUAUGGUUUGGGAUGCGUUGGAGACAGUGCUCCAAUUGAGAAAUUCGAUGUCUGAGAUCAUUGGUAGAAAUCUUAAUGAAAUGCUCCAACAGAGAGAAUUGUUGGCACAGAUCAAGAAUAUGUUUGAAGAUCUCGUUGGAAAAAUCAAUAGCAGGAAAAGUUGAAGGAGCAGAUGAGGAAGAAAACAAUUUACGAUUCACAGAACGGGUACAUGGAUAAGAGAAUGAAGGAGUGAUAAUAGGAGUCUUGCCUUUCAGAGCAUGGGAACGUGCAGACUUGAGUGAGGAAACCAUGAUGAAAAAGAUGUUAUGGACAGCAAUUGAAAGCACGACAAUAAAUAAGAGAAGAACAAAAGUUGAGUCCAAAUGCAAAACAACUAAAAGACCAAAAAGAUAAAAAAAAAAAAUAAAACAAUCAACAUUAUCUAAAAUUUGAAAGGACAUAGCAAAGAUAAGGAUAAUGACAAUUUUAUUUUAUUUUAUUUUUAUGUAAUGUCCACAAAAACAUAAUACGAACUAGAGAAAGCCAAAAUAAUCGAGACUAUAGAAAUGCAAUAUGAUUAAACAAGCCAACUCAACAGCAACCCCUAAACUCACAAGGAAUAUUCUCAAAUGUCACUCAAAGUGUUUGGGGUGAAGUGUUUACACUCAAAAAGAUCAUUAUGUGAAUACUCUACCAUAGGCUUGCAGAUCAAUCUCAUCUCCACACAUCAACAAUUUACCCUCAAGAGAUGAAAUAGGUUCGUACGAGUAGGUAUAACAGGACGUAGGCACUGGAUUAAGAUAAAGGAGAAUAAGGAGGACAGAAGUCCGAGAAGCUAUAGAGUCCUUUAGAAAUAAAACUAGAGAGAGGUUGAGACAGAGAGAACCACUGGAGCAAUAAAGAUGUGCUUUGCACAUUUGAUAUAUUGUGGUCUUCAUGUACAACUGUACCUUUGAUUUUCUUCAGAGAUAAACAACCACCAUGUGUGUUAUACACACGAAUCUUGUUUUUUUUUUUUUCUUGAAAAGUAUCGUUUCUUGACUUGGGAAGUUACUAUCAUCACGAUAUUAAUUCUUCAAUGGUGAACUAAUCGUGGACUCUCUCCGUAAAUAAAUAUGGAUUGGGCAACGGAGGUGAGAACCAGAGUAUAAAAGGUGAGGAAGAUAGUAUAUACUGAAGGAGAGGCGCAAUACUGUGGACAAGGGAAAAAAAUAAGACACUAGCGUAUAUGAUAAUGAUGGAACCACGUAAUUCCUAUUUUCAUCUCAAAAAGAGAGUAAGGAGCAAUACAAAGCCUCGAGAGAUCUCAAAGCAAGUUCUAGAGAGUUAAAAAUCACAUAAGAUAGAGCACACAAAAACGAUUUAAAAGUGUAUGAAAAAUGUAUACAUUAACUGGAGGCUCAAAAAUUCACAGGGGGCGGAGUUUCAGGCAAGUAGACAUGUUUAAUUAGAAAACAUACAUAUAGUAUCAACCCCCAAAGCAAAACAUAUUAUGUUUAGCACGAAGCAAAUAAUGUAGUGGCAAAAGUUUUGCAGACUAAAAAAUAAUAAUGGACUUCGUUUUCAAUAUUUUGAGGAAGAAACAACUAAGUAAAAAAAAUGAAAAAUAAAAAAAAAAAUUUAGAGGACACGACAGAUUCCUAAUGCCUUUCGAAGAGUUUCGAAACGAUGAGUGUCUAAAGGCUUAGUAAACAAGUCUGCAAGUUGAUGUUCAGUGGCAAUUAACUCCAACAUUAAAACCUUCUCUUCAACCAAGACACGAAUAAAGUGGUGACGAAUGUCAAUAUGUUUGGUACGAGAAUGUUGAACAGGAUUAUGGGAAAUGUUUAUAGCACUAGUGUUAUCACAAAAAACAGAAAAAGUGCCUUGAUUAAUGCCAUAAUCACUAAUCAUUUGCUUCAUCCAAAGCAAUUGUGUACAACAGCCACCAGCAGCGAUGUAUUCAGCUUCGGCAGUGGAUAAAGAAACACAGUUUUGUUUCUUACUAUGCCAAGCAACAAGAUUAUUUCCAACAUAGAAACGUCCUCCUGAAGUACUUUUUCGAUCAUCAGCAUUUCCUGCCCAAUUGGGAUUUGAAAAUCCAGCAAUUUCAGAAUUGGUUUCCAAGGAAUAAUGUAAUCCAAAAUCAACCGUGCCGCUCACAUAUCUGAUGAUUCUUUUGACAGCUUCCAGAUGCGAUUCUUUUGGAUCAGCUUGAUAUCUGGCACAAGCACCGACACUAUAAGAGAUAUCAGGCCUUCUAGAGCAUGGUAUGAAAAACUCUCAACUCAUUUGUUAAGGAAAGGAUAUACUCGAGGAGCUGUUGACAAAACCUUGUUCGUUAAAAGAAUCAAGAAGCAUGGUACGCAUGCAUCUAACUACAUUUAUCUGAUAUCUCAUGUUUUUGUAUUUGGGAUAGGUCUCUUAUCUAUUGUGUGCUUUAUCUCUUUAAAAUGACUUAUCCUUUCUAUAUUAAUUAUUAAAACACGCUUUCAAGAUAAUCUGAUUGUAUUUGGUGGGAUUUAUCUGAUUGUAUUUGAUGGGUUUUGCCUCGUUAAAUUCUACAUCAUGUGCGUACUCUUUAUAUUUAUUCUGAAUAUUCGUGUAGGAUUUAGUUUGCAUAAUUGAUUAGUUAAAACCAUAAUUUGGAUCAGUUUUAAGUUGAAAUUUAUUUAUAGGUUAAAUUAGUACUCAUCCUAGGACUUUCAAGGUUACAAUUUGAUUUAGAGAAAGAUGAAUAUGGAAAACGGAAUGCCAAAGAUGCUGAACAGAAAAGUGUGAUGACAAAAAGUGUCCAGACAAAUAACGGAACCAAUAUGAGAUCAACAUAAGGAAUUACAAUUACCUCAUAGAACUCAACAAGUUCUGCAAAAACGCCACGGCGAAGUGCCUUUCUUGUUCGACAAUCAACCCUACGCCAUGCAUUCAAGACGGCCGCUUUAUCAGCAUCAACAGGACUCUUCUUCUUUGCACUUGGGCCCUUCAUGGAAUCAAUCACAUUAGCCUGUCAAAAUGAAAUGAAGGCUAGAGUCAGGGCGUGCAACACCGAAACCUCUAAAAUGAUCCUAUAACGACAUAUGCAGAUAUACAUACUGGUUAUAAAUAAAUAGAGGCACAUUAUUUGCUACGUAAUUGCUAUGACACAAUUUAAAACGCUAAUCUGAAUAAAGUCUGCAAUCAUAUGACUGCUAGGAUAAUUUGCGACAUUCUAUGUUAAUUUUUGUAAUCUCUGUCUGCAAUGAUAUAGUUCAAAGGGUACUUAUGUACACAAAGUUCUAUACAGCAUGCAACAACAUAUAUAUAUGUGUGUGUGUGUGUGUGUCUGUGUGUAUGUUUAUGUGUAUAUAUAUAUACAAAUAAGUUCAUUUGGAAUGGUGGGAAUGGGAAAGUACCUGAGGAAUGUGAUUGUGGCCCAUUGAUGGUGGCUUUCGAAUAUAGCCCUGAAAUCAAGAGUGAGAUUUCUGCUCAGAUGGUGGAGGUUUCUUGCAGUUUAUGAGGAAUAUGAGAAGGGUAUUUAUAAUUGCAGACAUAUAUAUAUAGUAUCCUUUAUCUUAAAUUGGAUGUAAUUAUGUCUUGAUUUAGUGUAUUAAUGAUUUUUUAUAUGCAGAAAAUAUUUUGUGAAAGUGCAGAUUAAAAGAGAAAUAUCAAGAAUUCAUGUGCAUAAGAUAUCUGCAUGAAGAGUGAGGGAUUUGAAUCCCCCGAAUUGAACCAAAAUGAUUUCCAAAUUGGUAACUUAAAAAUCCAAGUAAAUGGCUACGUACCCGUUAAAUUAUUUUCACAAUAUUUACAAAUUUAUAAAUGGCGGUUAACUCAGUCACAAUUGUGUACCAAGCUUAUUACAAAUAGAUCAACGGCUCAUGUGCGAAGAUUAUUUGCUCUGAAAUACAAUAAUCUGAGUUUAUUUCAACCAGACUAUACAUUUCAGUAUGAUGCGACACGGUUGAUAUGCUGUUGCACAUGCUACAUGGUGUGCCAUUCAAUGUUUUAUAAUCAGGUGCACGAAAUGAUCGAUAUGUCUUAAUAAAUAAAUAAACAAAUUCACGUGUUAUAAUUUGAGUGGAAUAAUAACAUUAUGUGACCGUGUUUCAUGCACACUAAAUAAUUGAACGAAAACUACACCUUGAACUAGCAAGUUUCACAUACAGCUUGCUUGAUUAUGUUCAUUUUGGAAACAAGUCCAAAGUUGCACCAUUUCAUGCCAAAUGGAGAACUAACAAAUCAGAAUACAGAUUUUUUUGAAGAAAACUGCAGGAUAACCAAACACAAUAGAUUGAAUUUGAAACUAAAACAGUUCUUUCCAUCACACAGUAACCGCUUUCCCUCGACGCAGCACCCUUUGAUUCUGCUCGUCUAGAUGAAUGCGUACUCUUCCUCCUCCAUGUGAUGCCUAAACAUACGCGAUAAUGUAUCAAUAUACGGGGUUGUAAGUUUAUGAUAAGAAUGAAGAGCGAGAAAGAGAGCUAUAGAGUGCGAGAGAGAGUACCACGUAUCCAACAACAUCAGAUUUUCCAAGUUUUUUGCACCAGUAUGAUGCUACGACACAAUGUGCGCUCCCACAAACAGGAUCCUGACAUAAACAAAGAAGCAGCAUCCAGAUUUUUAUCAGUUGUAAUUUUGUCACAACACCGGAAAAUGAUAAGUGAGCAAGCAGCAUACCUCAUUCACACCGUGUUUAGGGGCAAAGAAUUUACUGUAAAAUCAUACCCGGACUCUGGGGGAGCAAUCGCUGUUGCAAGGACUCCCCUACACCCCGGACUUUAUUCCAUCAGGCUGUGGCUGCAGUGGCGGAGCCAGAAUUCUGAAUGAGAAGGGGCUUUUCACAAAUAUGUGUAUAUAUAUAUAUAUAUAUAUAUAUAUAUAUAUAUAUAUAUAUAUACGAGUGUGUGUAAAAAGUUUAAUUCAUAACAUGUUGACAUAUGCAAUUUGUGUAAUCCUCACAAAACUGAAAAAAUUCUCUUAAAUUCAAUACUAAGAAGAAAAAAAUGUAAAAACCAAGACAACCAAGUAAGAGGUAGGUUGUGGAAGACUAAAGAAAAUACAAAGAAGUAGAAAAAGAAGGAAAAGGGGGAGAGGUCGCAAAUAAAGAAGGUGGGUUGCUUAAGAAAAUUAUAGGAUGUAUAUUACUGUUAGGUGAGAAGAUCGAACUAGAAGUGGGGUUGCUUUUUCCAUUUAAAAUUGCACAUCUCUUUUAAAACUCUCUUGCCAAACUUGUCGUUUCAUUAGACAGCCGAAACGAUUUAAAAUCAAAACAGUUUAAUGACGUCAUUUGCUUCAUCUUCUUCCAUGAGGUUCACACUUCAGAUGAAGUUAGGAUGGGCCAGGGACUACCCUAGUCCCUUGGUGGCUCCGCCCUGGGCUGUAAAUCUGCAACCGCUUUUGAUGAUGGAAGCACAGCCUUGCGGAAAAUGAAACAAGAAGGAAACAGAACCAUCAGAAAGGAAAAGUUAUAAGCUUAUAUUGAUUGAACUGAUAAUAUGGAACCGAAAAUGCAGGUUCCUAGAAGGAUUGCAUGACCUACAAGUAGAUCAUCCUGUGACAGUUGCCCUCCUUCUUUCAUUAAUAGAAAAGCGCCAUUCAAGGCGUGGAGAUAAACCUGUGAUAGUUGCCCUCCUUUCAUUAAUAGAAAAGCGCCAUUCAAGGCGUGGAGAUAAACCGAAACCUCAUCAGAGUUGAAUUCAUUAGACGGGGCAGCAGGAAAGUGCAGUUCAAUGAAAUAGGAGGAUUCUUGUGCUUCAUCAUUGGCUGUCUUAACAUCUAGAACCUUUUUAGCUGUUAGGAUUCCAGACAAAGUUGAAAACGCGAUAAUGUCGGAAAAUAUCAAACCAGACUUAAAGAGAGUGUAUGAAGCAGCUAAUGUUGCAUGGCCACAAAGCUCAACCUGCAAAAAGGAAUCAAGUUUUCAGACUAGAUAGCUUGAUAUCAAACUUGGAGAAACCUGAGUUACUUGAAAAGUUUGCUUUUCAAGUAAAUAUACACCGCAAGAGUAAAAGGACCAAUUUUACUGAAUUAGUGGCUGCCUAAGAUUUGGAUCUUAGACACUCGAAUUAUUGCGUGGAUUUUAUAUUUCAACCUUGUUAUUAUAAACUGUGAUAUGAGUUUAAAACUUAAAACCAGAGAAACUAUAACGAUGUUUUAUGAGUGGAAAUUGGAAGGUGUGGAAAUUGGAAGGAAACACCGAACCUAGGAGCUGUGUCCGAGUCAAUGAGCUGAGUCAAGUAACAUGUCUCGGAGAAGAGGCCGCUGCCUGCAACUACCGGUCGUCUCUGUCUUCCUCCAGCAAGCAAACUGCUGCUGGGUUCCCCUUGACAGCUAAGUCAGUCGGUGAAAGCAUCCACCGGCACUCAUCCAUUUCAGCAAUAAAUUCAAACACUACUUGCACGCAUCAUAUACACACAGGAAGAAUAUGUGAGAGAGAGAGAGAGAGAGAGAGAGAGUUCAGCAGCUCAGCUGAGAAGAAAGUUGAGCAGCAGUAGCACCUUUCAAGAUGCCAAGAUGAAGAACUCGGGAUACAAAUUUUGAAAUGAAAAAUAAAGGCACACCUAACUAAUUUGCUCAAAUUUAUUUAAUUCAAAUAUAAUGGUUCUUUCCCCAUAAAAUUGAGUCAUUUAUUUCAAAUGUUUAUACUUCAAGGUAAAAAUAACUCCAACUUCAAGCUAAAACAGUUCCUUCCAUCACCAUAACAGCUUUUCCUCGCAGCAGUGCCCUUUGAUUUUGCUCAUCUAGAUGAACGUUUAUUGCUCCCCCUCGAGGUGAUGCCUGAAAGUAAACAUCAACGUAUGAGGGGAUUGAGAUUUAUAAUACCACAGAGAGAGAGAGCGAGAGAGAGAGAGAGAGAGUGCCUGAUAAGCAAAAACAUCAGACUUUCCAAGUUUUUUGCACCAGUAUGAUGCAAGGGCACAAUGUGCGCUCCCAGUAACGGGAUCCUGACACAACAGUUAGCAGUAUUCAGACUUAUGUAACAAAUGGUUUAAAUCCAUGUUAGCAGGUUAUGUCAGAUAUAUUCCAAUACUUUAGCUUAGAAUAAUGAAACUGACAAAGAUCGUGUGGAAAAGAAAGACACAGGAAAAGGCCAAUCAGGUUAUCCAAAUGUUUUAAAUCCACUUUAGCAGAAGAAAAAAAAAAUAGAAAAAGGGAAAGGCUUAUUGAUGCAGAUACAUAAUCUCCUCAUCUAACAUAGCAACACAGUUGGCACCAGGUAUCAGGCACUUGAGAGAAACUUGCUGAGAGAACAAUGCAAGCUGCUUACCUCAUCAAUCCCAUGUUUGGGACAAAAGUAUCUACUGUAAAAAUCAUAUCCUGAUUCCGGAGGAGCAAUCCCCGUAAUGAUCACUCCGCUAGACCCUGGACAUUGUCGAAUUGCAUCAAACUGCGGCUGUAAAUCUGUGACAGCUUUUGCUGAUGGAAGCACAACCUUGAAAAAUGAAACCAGUAUCACUUUAGAGUGCAUGCUAGACUGCACAGGCAAUCCAAUAAAAUAAAAAGUUUUUCCGCUGUUUUUUAUGUUUCUAUCAAUCAAAAGCAUAAUAGGGAAUUGAAAAGGUAGGUUUCUGGAAGGAUUGUAGAACUUACAAGUAAAUCAUCUGUGACAGUUGUCCUCCUUAUUUCAACCAUAGAAGCACCAUCUAAGGCCUUAGAGAUUACCGAAACAUCACCAGAGUUGAAUUCAUUAGACGGGUCGGCAGGAAAAUUCAGUUCAACAAAAUAGGACUCUUGUGCUUCCCCAUUGUGAGUAUUCAACCGUUGGCUGUCUUAGCAUCUGGAACCUUUUUAGCUUUUAGGAUUCCCGAUAAUGUGGCAAACUCAACAAUGUCGGACUUUACCAAACCAGAGUUAAAGAGAGUGUAUGCAGCUGCUAAUGUUGCAUGACCACAAAGCUCAACCUCCACAAAAGGCAAUCAAAUUUUCAAGAUCAAUUGAGAAAGCAUAUGCUACUUCAUACACUGGUGACAAAAUCAAGACGUUGGCAAUACCAAUUCAGUCGAGUGCCACAUAAUCACAUCAAAAUUUAGAGAAACCUGAGUGAGGGCUCGUUUGGAGAUGCUUUUCUAGAAAGUACUUAUGCUCAUAAGCAUUAUUAUUAGAAGCACGUCCAACUUUUUUUUUUAAAUAAAACCUCUUCCAAGUGUUUUUUGUUCAACCCAUAGGCAAUUUCAACUUUUUCCAUCAAACGUUGUUAGAAAGCGUCUUUAGGAACCAGUUUUAAAUAAAUCCAUAUGCCAAAAAGGAACCAUUUUUACUUGGGGUUUCUCCAUUUUAAUCCUUGAUAAAGAUUGAAAUUCAAUUAAAACCUUAUGUUAGAUUAUAUAUUCAUUAUAGUCCUUUGACUAAAUUUUCAUGUCAGCAUAAAUAUUAAAAUUUAUAUUUUCUUGUUUUUAAAUAUUUAAUGCAUUUUUUUGGUUCCUAUAAUGCUCCUAUUAAAUAUUUGAUUUUAAUUUGCUCUAUAUUUUUUGGCAUUGAUUAUUGUCUGACUUUCUAAAAUGAUAAACAUAAUUCAAAAAAUAUUAGUGAUACGUUACAAGAAUUAACAAAUACCUAAUUCAAAUUAUUCAUUAUCACCAUUCAAAGCAUAGAGGAAAUAUAAAUAGCCAAAUCAUAUAUUUUACAUAAUCGAAUGCACUUAAACCAUGUCCUAAUGUACUUAAAUCAUAUAACCUAGUCGAAUGCACAUAAAUCAUAGUACCAAGUCAAAUGCACAUAAACCAUGGUACUUAUAUGAAUGCACCUAAACCAUGGUACCUAUAUGAAUGCACCUAAAUCAUGGUACCUAUAUGAAUGCACCUAAAUCAUAGUACCUAUAUGAAUGCACCUUAAUCAUUUAGGUACUAUCAAUUAGGUCUUAUCCAUUCAGUAUAGUCGGUUAGGUACUAUAUAGUGUAUGUCCGAUUAAUUUGGUACGGUCAAUUAAGUUGUGAUUUCACAUUCUAUUUUCUCAAUUUGUAUUUUUUUUUUUUCAUUUAUCUCUGGAUUCACUGUCAAUUUGGCAUCUAAAAGCCCCUUUUUUCUUCUUUCUUCCGAAUACAACGAGAUUUUUGGUCUGUAAGUUUUAUGGCUUUUUUUGUUUGAUCAUGGUUUCUAAGUUUUCUGGGUUCUUUGAUAGGAAUAACACAUGGAGAUUUAUGUUAUAACAAACAUGUUAAUUAUGGAUCUAGUUAAUUAAGCAUUCUUGAAAAAUUAAUUAUAUAAUUGUUUCUUUAAUUGGUUUUAAGAGAGUAAUAAGGGUAAAUAGGGAAACUAAAAAUGCAAUAAAUUUAUUAAAAAAUGAUUAAAUGUGACAUGGAACACUAUAAUCUGACAUGAAGGACUAUUUUUAGUUUUUAAUCUUACAUACGGUAUUAUUGAAAAAGCAAUCUUAUUUAGGGAUUAAAAUGAAGUUUUCUAUUUUUACUUUCUAAUAAAUCAAACUUUGGGGUAAAUUUAAAAUUUCAACCUUGUUAGCGUGUGCAUUUAAAAGUUAAACACUUGAAACCAAGGAAACUCUAAAGAUCAACAAUUUUGAACUUUCUGCUUCAUACAUUGGUUAAGAUUAAGAUUUAAGAAUUUCUAAAUAUCUAAUUUAAAGAAAAUUGAGUUAAAAGCCCGUUUGAAAUGCUUAUCUAGAAAACACUUCCACUCAUAAACCUUUUUGCUCAAAGCGCAAUUAGUAGAAGCACGUCCAAAUUUUAAUAAAAUCCAAGUGCUUUUACAACCCAAAAGCACUUUUCCAACUGCUUUAACUACCCAGUUACACUUUCAAAUAAACUCGUAUGCUAAAAGCCUAAAGAGAACAAAUUUAAAGUUCCUGGCUGUUUUCGAUACACUCAAAUCUUUUGGUGGAUUCCAUAUCGACCCAGAUAAAAGUUGAACACUUGGAAACCAAGGAACGUGUAAAGAUAUUGUUUGGGUUAAAACUUGAACUUUGGGCUUAAAAGGGAGUUAGCCCAAAAGGAGGUCUAGAAGAAAGGAAGCCCGAGGCUCAGCCAAAGCCCAUAAGACGGAAAAGGCCUUUUUCCCGACUAAGUGCAGAUCACUCAAGUCACCUGCUCACCUACCUAAAGGUCAAGUGGUGUAGACUAGCCAGCUACUCAGCCCAAAAGUACUUUACAAUGGCAGGACAAGUAAAAAGUUGAUGAGUCACUACCCUUCAGAGGCAUUCAGGCAAGAUUAAUACUGCAGGCAGCCAAGCCAAAUCGUCUAUAAAAGGAGAAAGAAAAAUCAAAGAUAAGGACACUCAAUCAAACAAACAAAUACACAAACUCUGCUCAAGCCAGAUUUACAUACGAAGCUGUAGUCAGCACCAAACCUUCAUCCUUUUCGGGAUCAACCUUCACCAGAAAAGCCUUUGUAAAAGCUCUGCUACCUUAUUUAAAUCUUGUUGUAAUAUCGAUUCUCUCUUAUAAACUCAUCUCCCAAUCUCCCCUUCUAGGCCUCAAACCCUUUGUAAAUCACAAAGAGAGGAAGUUGCAAAAUGAUCAGCCUUGCCCGAACUCCUUUGUUUUAGUCUUUUCAUUCAUAAAUCUAGUAAUAUAAUGUAUAUUUCCAUCUGCAUCCAAGUUAUUUCUAGCCAGUUUAUGAUUAAAAGACUUCUAAGUUCUAACCAUUCGGGCAGACAAGAUUGAUCAAUUAAAAGUCCUUGGUCUCAAGGCAUAAAAAAAACUUUAUGUGGACUUAACCCAUCCACGACAGUCCUUGAUAACAAGAAGUCCGAAGUUACUUAGGGCGCAAGUAAUUAGCCUAUUUUCUUAGUUUUACUUCUGUUAUAUCAUGAUUACCACAGAACGCUUGAGAAUAGAAUUAAUUCUGAUGGGAAACCCCAAGGCCUAUACCUAAGGCCUGACAAAGGCACCUAUCUGAGUUCAUUCUGCUCUGCAGGCUCGAGCGAUUAAAUUAUAACGGUUGUGAUACUUCCGCAACAAUGAAACAACCAAUAUAUGUUCGAGUACUUGGUUAGUUCUAGUUAGAAGCCUUAAGGCCUACACCUAAGGUCCCACAAAAGCACCUAUCAGAAUUAACUUGGUCUUUCGGGCAUAUAUAAUCAAACAACUGAACAUCUGUUUUACAUCUGUUAUGCUAAAGAUGGCAGUGGCACACCUGAACACUUAAAGUUAAUUUUGAUUACGAGCCUCAAGGGCUACACCUAAGGCCCUACAAAGGCACCUUUCAGAAUUAAUUAUGUCCUUCUCUUACAGCCCACCCGCCAAUAAGUAAAAGCCCGACAAACAAUAUCAACCUGCGCCAACCUCACGAAGCUGUGUGCUCAUUAGGCAGAAAACGUCCCCACUGGAUAUUCCUCCAGACGAACAGAUAUGAUAUGAAUGGAAAGCGUUGAAUUGAAGGGAGGUGAGCUCAUACCUCAUUGGAAGGAGUGAACCAUCUGACACCGAACCGAGGGGUUGAGUCAGACUCAGUGAGCCGAGUCAAGUAACAUGUCUCGGAGAGGUUGAACUCGGCGGCCACGGCUUGUAACCACUGGUCGUCUCUUUCUUCCUCCAGCAAGCAAACCGCUGCUGGGUUCCCUUUGAAAGCCGAGUCUGUGAACGCGUCCACCUGCAACCAGCAAAUUCAAACAUUCAAUUCAUAC
rnacentral:lncRNA from 1 species